rnacentral:rRNA from 1 species
GACGAACGCUGGCGGCGUGCUUAACACAUGCAAGUCGAACGGAAAGGCCCUGCUUUUGUGGGGUGCUCGAGUGGCGAACGGGUGAGUAACACGUGAGUAACCUGCCCUUGACUUUGGGAUAACUUCAGGAGACUGGGGCUAAUACCGGAUAGGAGCUCCUGCUGCAUGGUGGGGGUUGGAAAGUUUCGGCGGAUGGGGAUGGACUCGCGGCUUAUCAGCUUGUUGGUGGGGUAGUGGCUUACCAAGGCUUUGACGGGUAGCCGGCCUGAGAGGGUGACCGGCCACAUUGGGACUGAGAUACGGCCCAGACUCCUACGGGAGGCAGCAGUGGGGAAUAUUGCACAAUGGGCGGAAGCCUGAUGCAGCAACGCCGCGUGCGGGAUGACGGCCUUCGGGUUGUAAACCGCUUUCGCCUGUGACGAAGCGUGAGUGACGGUAAUGGGUAAAGAAGCACCGGCUAACUACGUG